ensembl:lncRNA
GGAGUCAAAACAAACUUUGGCAAAACACAGCAUCGACAUUCCUUUCGAACUGAAGGCAGAAUCCUGACUGUGGCAUGUGCUUUUGCACAGAAAAUUAAGAUUUUGGAGGUACCUAUUUUGAAGAAAAAGUGUAUAGAGAGAUAAAGCUGCUAUCCAUCACGGACCUGCAUGAUCCAUCUAACCUCUGAAUCACAGCUGUGUGACUGGAAUGAGCUGUGAAUGAAGAUGUGUCUGUCACAACAUUUGGAGAAUUUCAGGAUUCAUUGAUGAAUAAAAAGUUCAAAACAACAGCAUUUAUUUAAAAACAAUUUCUUUUUGUACCAUUGUAAAAACUAUACUGCCAUUUUUUUAAUUUAAUGCAUCCUUGCUGAAUAAAGUUAUUAAUAA